ACCUAACCAGUCAGUUGCCUUUGUGAUUCUUAGAUCUUCAUUUUCCAUCUCUCCAUUUAUAAGCUUUGAGCAGUUACAAAACUAUUUCUUGAAAUUCACUUCCAUUCUGAAGGGCCACUUCCUAUGUGUGUUGGACUCGCUGAUGCUCCACCAAGUGUGAUUUGAGUCCAGAUGCUUUUCCAACGUCACUUCAGCUAGAAAGCGUCCCUUCCCCCAUCCGUGUGAAUUAUCUGAUGAAUGGUAAGUACAGAGUUUCAAAAGCAUCCUCUCCCACACAGUGCAUUUGUAAGGUGCUUCACCUCUGUGCCACCUCUGAUGACGAACAGAUGUUGAGCACAAAGGAAAAUGUUUUAGAUAGGGGCUUUUAAAAGAGCGUCUCUCCUGAUACGGAAGGGGGGGCAUGUCUUCUUCUUCACCUUCUUCUUCGCUACAAUAUAUCCAUUUAUUUCCAAUUGCCAAUGUCAAAAGGGACUAAAAUCUAUAAAAUUCAUAGAAAAUCAACGUGCCAAUUUGCUCAAUUUCUCUAGGACUCCAUGACACCUCCCCUGUCCUCCAUAAUCCCUCAAGCAAGGUGUAAAGACCCUAAUCCUGUCAAAUCGCUCUGCCAAGCCCUUCUUCCGGGCGAUGCCAGGUGACAGACUAUGCAUACAUGGACCAUUGUCUUCUCAGGAUGUGCUUAUCUGUGCAUAUCUCCAGCUCUGCAUAUUCCCCUCUCCCUCCUCCAUAUGUUAAUCCGGUGUAACCCAACCUCUUCCUAAUGUAUUCGUGAUGUAAUCUGUGCAACCCAACCUCUUCUUAAUGUAUUCAUGAUGUAACUGGGAUGUAUUUUACACUGUAUUCUGGGACAUGGAGGGAAAUUUCAAAAGUUCAUGUCACCCCUUUCUCGCUGUUCAAUCUCGCCUUGAACCUGUUGCGCAAUAAACUUGGAUGUUCUGCAGUUUGCUCCUGUCUCCGGCUGAGCUCAUUUUCUUCCGCAGGGACCCGCGGACUUAGUCCGACGAGCUGGGUGGCAGAGUAGCCUCGCACUCAGAUUUUACCGUAACACUCCUUAGUGGAUCUUCUGAUCGUUGAAAAAAGUACAGCUUCAACGGCAACGUCAAUCACAUAUGUUUGCUCUGCAACCCAGAUUGAUUUUGUGGCAGACAGUGAUAUUCUAGGGUUUAGUGAAACCCUUUUUUCUUCUCUUCUUUUUGAAUGAAUUGAUUUAUAUCACUUCUUUGCUGAAGAUUUUUGUUGUGGGUGUUCCUGCCUCUGCAGAAUACUGAAGGCAUGCCUCAAGAGACAAAUUUGACAAGUAUCACCUUUAAGCCUUGUCAGUAACUUCUCAUUAAGUUCUGCUUCCUCCAGAAACACUUAUUGUGGGCCCCCUUUUCUUGUUUUUCUUCUUCUUCUCUUGAGCUUAUCAACACUCCAAGUGUGAUUAGCAUCUUGUCAGGCUUCAAGAUAAACCUUGUCUGCUGAAUAGUACCAGAAAUCAACCUUCGGCAGCAGUUAAAAUCAAGGGGUUCUGUUUUACUGGAUGAUAUCAGUGAAAAAUAAGGGGGAUGAGUGCUUAUUGUAAAGAUGGGAUGGAGAAAACCAAUAUGGACAUAUUUUGUCUGUUUGAGUUUCUUUGAUGGAAAAAUCCAUAUGAAGAAUUUCCUUCAAGACAGCAGUUGUUUUGUUUUUGUUUCUUAGCUUAUGCUCAAUGGAAAAAGCAGCUACUUAAAUCUCAUCAUUUCUUCUCUGAAACCAAAGUCCUGAUUUUGGCAUAGAAUUUUGGCAGGACAAUCCCAACUCUUACCAGGCAGUGGUGGGGUGUGAUAAGAGUGCUGGACAGGGCUGAAGCAGCUGCCAUGGUAGCAGAAUCUCACAGGGAGCACCCCUUGCCAGUGUCCUGCCUGCCACUGCCACUGCUGCCACAUGGCAGGAGCUUCUCAGAAGCUGCCACUGCCAGGGUGCGACCCCAGUAAGCAAGGCUUUGGCAGGGGAUGGAGGGAACGUACCUGUUUCACCUCAGAUGGUGAAAUGGGCCAAAUAGCUCUAAAGUAUGGUUACCAGACAUCCCCGUUUCCCAGGGACAGUCCCCAGAUUUACAAAUCUGUCCCCGGACAAAAUCCGUCUCCGGAAUGUCCCUGGAUUUCAUUGAAUGUCUCUGGAUUUAUAUUUUAAGCGUUGUGGAUUUAUUAGUAGGGAAUGAAUGUUGUGUGAUUGGUUCAACGGCACAAGACACAUCAUAUGGGGACUUCCAGGGAGGCAAAAUGGCGGGCGACAUGGCAGCGAGAAGCUCCUGAAGCCAGCCAGAGCCAAUUGCACUACCAGGCUGUCUCCAGGCUGCUGAGACUGCUGCUGCCACCGCCACUGUUGAGGGGGAACUGGGGACGCCCAGUGUGUCAACUGGGGGAACUGCUGACCCUCCCCGUGACCCAAAUCGAGCCAGGAACAAGAGCGCCUGGCCAUCCAGCCGACUGCCCAUCAGCACUCGGGGGCCAGGAAAACCCCAGAGCCGACGCAGGGAGAAGGAGGAGAGGAGGAGAAGGAAGAGAGAGAAAGAGGAAGGAGAAAAAAGAGGGGAGCCAUACCCUUGCCCCGCCCCUGCCACCACUGAGGAGGAGAGGUAGAAGAGCACCGGGAGGGCAAGGACACAUGGCCGAGUCCAGGCCCGACCCGAGCCUACUCCACAGUGGCUAGCGCUUCCAAGAGAGCAGGCCAGGGCCCAGAGGAAGGCCGUGUGACAGAGUAAGUAACUAACAGAGUAAUACUUUUUUUAAAAUAAAAAAAAAGUGUCCCCGGAUUCUUUGGAAAAAAUCUGGUAACCUUACUCUAAAGUCAUAUUUUUCUUUUUUUUAAAAAAAAAAAUAUUUAUUACUUUUCCAACAAUUUAAACACUACAAAAACAAUACAAUACAAUACAAAAACACUACAUAACAUUGACACAGUAAACACAUUGAACCAACAAAACAAAACAAAAACAGUAAAAUAAAUCAAACAAUUUCAUUAUCCCAUCUUUCAUUCACUUAUUUCCACGACCUCCUCACACCUCCCUUUUUGUAUUCCACUUCUGUUAAUUGUUUCAGCAAUUCCUUUCCAUCUUCCUCUGUUUUCUAUCCUUUAAUUAUCUUAACACAUUCUAACCUUAUUUUUUCCUUUAAUACUCUAUUAAUCUAUUUAUACUUAAUUCCUUAUAACAUUUCUACUAAAGCCAUAUAACUUCAUUCCAACAUUUUUCUAACAUUCAUUAAUUUUACAGUAUUUCUGUAAAUAGUCUUUAAACUUUUUCCAAUCUUCUUCCACCAACUCUUCUCCCUGGUCUCGGAUUCUGCCAGUCAUUUCCGCCAGUUCCAUAUAAUCCAUCAACUUCAUCUGCCAUUCUUCCCGGGUAGGUAAAUCUUGUGUCUUCCAAUACUUCGCGAUAAGUAUUCUUGCUGCUGUUGUUGCAUACAUAAAAAAGGUUCUAUCCUUCUUUGGCACCAAUUGGCCGACCAUGCCCAGGAGAAAGGCCUCUGGUUUCUUCAGGAAGGUAUAUUUAAAUACCUUUUCAUUUCAUUAUAAAUCAUCUCCCAGUAUGUCUUCAUCCUUGGGCAUGUCCACCAAAGGUGAAAAAUGUACCUUCAGUCUCAUUACAUUUCCAACAUUUAUUGUCGGGCAAAUGGUAAAUUUUUGCAAGCUUGACUGGUGUCAUGUACCACCUAUAAAUCAUUUUCAUUAAAUUUUCUCUUAGGGCAUUACAUGCCGUGAAUUUCAUACUAGUGGUCCAUAACUGUUCCCAGUCAGCCAUCAUUAUAUUAUGUCCAACAUCUUGUGCCCAUUUAAUCAUGGCUGAUUUCACCGUUUCAUCCUGAGUGUUCCAUUUCAACAGCAAGUUAUACAUUCUUGACAAAUUCUUGAUUUUAGGAUCUAACAGUUCUGUUUCCAAUUUUGAUUUUUCCACCUGGAAACCAACUUUUUUGUCCAAAUUGUAUGCCUCCAUUAUUUGGUAAUAAUGGAGCCAAUCUCGCACUUUAUUUUUCAAUUUUUCAAAACUCUGCAAUUUUAGUCUGUCUCCCCCUUGUUCCAAAAUUUCCCAAUAUUUCGGCCAUUUGGCCUCCAUAUUGAGUUUUUUCUGUGCCUUCGCUUCCAUUGGUGACAACCAUCUUGGGGUUUUCUUUUCUAACAAAUCUUUAUAUCUUAUCCAAACAUUAAACAAUCUAAAGUCAUAUUUUUCAAUGCAGCUCUUUGGUUUCUGAAAUUCAUUCGGAUUGUGCAGACAAAAUAUCAUGAAUAGUAUUCUACAGGACACAUUGCUAGUGUGCAAAAAUAGUCAAGAUUCAACAAUCCCCAGGCAUGCACCUCCAGAUGGUGGAGAUGUCAGGUGCCAUCCUGGUGUCCGGGAAUCUUCACUUGGUCGCAAAUGGUUGAUAGCCAGGUACAUAAUGAGCCUGGCGCCUGGCAAAUUUCUAAUGCUGGGAUCUUGCCAGCAGAACUUCUACCUAUCCAGUGGCAACUAACACGGACAGAGAUGUUGUUUCUCCAUUGUUGGAGGCAUAUGCUUCUAAAUAUCAGUUGCUGGAAACCACAGGAGGGGAGAAUAUUAUUGUGCUCAGGUUCUGCUUGUGGGUUUCCCAGAUGCAUCCGGUUGGCUACUGUGAGAACAGGAUGCUGAGUAGAUGAACCAUUGGCCUGAUCCAACAGUCUCUUCCUACGUUAUUGUCAGGGACUGGACAGAGGAGGAAUGGUGGAGACCGCCUCCCCAGCCUGAACCUUCCAGAGAAGAGGAAGACAGUAUAGAUUUACAACAGUGGUUGUAAAUCACAGCUCAAAGGAAGAUGAGGGGGAAAGUUGGGAAAUAAUGGGAGAAAAGGAGGAUGAGGAGGCAGAGCCGGAGCAGCUGGCUGACACGUUAUCACUAGAAAGCAUUCCAGACCCCCCCCCUUCUCCCAGAUCCUGGCAAGCCUUAAAAGUAGGAGAGCAAAGAGCUCAAAGGCAGAUGAAUAGAGGUAAAAUAGAGGACAAAUGAGGAAGUGGGAGAGAAGGGGGUGUAGAUUUACUUGGAGCAACACCAUUACUCCAAGAGGCUGUGUUUCUAAGCCUCUCUCUGUGAAUAUUGAAUAAACAAUAUUGGUAAGAACUUUCCUUGUCUUAUCCAUUCCUGGCAACCUACCGUUGGGGAUUGGUUCCUCUGAUGUUUGACAGAUAUGUUCUUUAUUAGAAUGGAGGUCUGAAUUUCUAUUCCAUUGCCAAAUAUUGAUCUCCAACUGGUGCUGCUGGCUAAAAAAUAGAGAGAAAGACUGGCCACCGUGACGUUUUGCUGGAACUGCCUGUCUGAAAGAGGGAGGUUGGCCAUCAUGGCUUUUGUGACUCUCAUUCAAAGGAAGAAUGAAUAAUAAUAAUAAUAAUAAUAAUAAUAAUAAUAAUAAUCAUUUUUUAUUUAUACCCUGCCCUCCCCAGCCAAGGCCGGGCUCAGAGCGGCUUACAAGCAAUAAUAAAAACAAGAUGAAUGAUUACAACUUAAAAACAAAAAUAAAAUACAACAUUAAAAUAAUGGAACAUUAAAAUAUUAAAAUGUAGCCUCAUCACAGGAAGAGAAGGAAAAGAAAAAAGAAAGAGAGGGAGGGAGGGAAUCAAAUUGGCUCCAAGCCAAAGGCCAGGCGGAACAACUCUGUCUUACAGGCCCUGCGGAAAGAAAUCAGAUCCUGCAGGGCCCUGGUCUCAUGAGGCAGAGCGUUCCACCAGGCUGGAGCCAGAGUUGAAAAGGCCCUGGCUCUGGUUGAAGCCAAUCUAACUUCCUUAGGGCCCGGGACCACUAGGGUGUUGCUAUUUAUGGACCUUGAGGCUCUCCGUGGAGCAUACCGGGAGAGGUGGUCCCAUAGGUACGAGGGUCCUAGGCCGUGAUAUAUAUAGGUAUAUAUCUCGGUAAUACCUGUAUAUAUGUAUGUAUUUUGUUUUUCUAGCUUGAUCAAAAUUAUUUAUUAUUUCAUAACAGAUAGAUAGUUAAGAGCUUAGGCGGCUUCAGCGGUGGGCACCUGGUGUCCCCCAGUAUUUGGUACCCGGGUGCCUCACACCCCUUGCAUCCCUGGGUAAAGACGGCCCUGCCACUCAGUGCCUAUCCCAUUUUGGAGAAUGUCAAUUCUGCAAAUAAGACAAAGCUUCUUAAAUGCAGGCAGGACAUGGGAUGAGUCUUACUCUCUUCCAGUCAGUUGCUUCAUGAACAGGUAGGUAGCUGUAGGCAAGUAAGCAGCCAGCAAGUGAUGAUAUUAAAGUAUCACACAACCCAUACUAUAAACACAGUUGAGAUACUAGCAGCAUUUUCUGCCUCCUCUCCUUGAACUUUUCCAUCCUUGGUGGUCGUUAUAGCAACUUGUAACUAAGGACUUGAACCUGAAUUUGCUUAUUUUCUCCUCACUUCCAGUCCUCCCCCCCCCCCGUCCUGCACUUAUAGACUGUGAGACUGAGGGCAGGAGCUGUUUUUUUGGGUGGUGGUGGGGUUUGCCCCAGUGAUUUAUAAGCUGUUCUCAUAGUCUUUUUUAAAAAAGAUAUUUAUAUCCAUAAAAACCACAUAAAAUAAUAACUUGAGAAGUGACGCAGUUAUUCCUGUAGAAAACAAUGAUAAACUCAAGCUAAAAGAAAUUAAAAAUGCAAAACUAAAGUUUCAUUAAAAUGUUACCUCCUCCCACCAAAAACAUAGUGUCUAACAGUCUUUAUUUCCUAGACUGAGUGUUUUUUAAUACAUGGCAAUUGUCCCUGGUGAAUCAUGUUAUCUAUUUUGUCCCUUGUGGGGGGGGGGGGAGGGAAUUUUAAAAAUGUGUGUAUACACUCAUAUAUGUGUAAUAGAGUGCUCUCUUCAACCCCUCCAAAUGCCUAGUCAGAUAGUAAAUGCUGCUUAAUUGGUUUUAAAUAUAAUUAUUCUAUAAGUACAACUAGAUAUAUUGUGAGACAAAAUGCUCUUAAGUUAUUUCAAGUACCUCGGGUUACAUACACUUCAGGUUACGUACGCUUCAGGUUACAGACUCUGCUAACCCAGAAAUAUUGCUUCAGGUUAAGAACUUUGCUUCAGGAUGAGAACAGAAAUUGUGCUUCGGCGGCGCGGCAGCAGCAGGAGGCCCCAUUAGCUAAAGUGGUGCUUCAGGUUAAGAACAGUUUCAGGUUAAGUACGGACCUCCGGAAUGAAUUAAGUACUUAACCCGAGGUACCACUGUACCAUACUUUAACACACACUAACACAAACACACCUAAGGAGAGUAAACACUUAAAAAUAAAUGUUUUGGUGGGAAAAUGCAGAAUGAGCUGCUGAAGAUUAGGUGAAGAAGAGUAUUCAGCAACAUGUAACUGGAGAAGGAUGCUCAGGUAAUGACUUUUUUGUGAGAGAAUAAAUGUGUUACAACAUGCAUGAGUCAUCCUGUUUUCAUCUGUGAAAUGUGAAAUCUGUGAAGGUACGCAAAAUGCUUCCUUUAGGUCAUGCACUGAUGAAAAGUAUAUUUGAGGAAAGACAUGAAAGGGGAGUCUCUCAUUCUUGAGCUACUGGAAAGACUAGGAAUAAUUCUCUUUCUGCAUUCUUCAAUUAAUAUCAAAAGGUGCUGGUCAGCCGAAAGCAUUAUCCAGGCUCCUUGCUCAUGGAUCUGUUCCCUUUUUGUUGUUUGACUUUUGUUUCCUGAGCUCGGCAAGAAAAAUUCUGCUAAAGAAGGAUAUUUGAACUGUUAAAGGUUAUUUCACCUUCAGUCAUCCGAACAUUGACUGAUGAUACACUUGACACUGGCUAACAGUAUCUAAUAUUUUAAUAAGCAAGGUGAAAGAUGGCUUAUUUGAUUUUGUGAUAUUGUGAGAGAGAUGUCUUUAAUGAAUUGAUCUUUGCUCUCAUCUUAAUUCUCAGACCUGAAAUCCCCUAUAUAAACUAACCAAGUGACACUGUGCUAUCUAGAGCCUCUAUAUAUCCCCUCUGCACGUCUGCCAAUUAUAAGCAGAGAACUCUGUCUCUGGGAGUCAGUCAACAUGAAAGCCUUUAGACCUGCUAUCCUCCAACUGUUUUGAACUACAACUCCCAUCAGCCCCAGCAAGCACAUGGAAGCUGGAAGCCAAAACAGCUGGAGAGCACUGGGUUGCAGAAGGCUGCCACAGACCAUGAUCACCACAGACCAUAUGCCAUAGACCAUAAGCAUAAAGCAGCCUGCUAAUCAAGACUUCCAAGUUCCACCUUACCUGACAUCACAAUGACAUGAGGAGAUUGAAAGGUGGGAAAUCCUACAGAUAUGUCAAAUUUGGCCUCUCAGGAGUUGGAGAGAUAAUGCUCUGGCCCACUGUGCAGAAAAGUUUCUCCACCUCUGGCAUAUGAGAAUGUGCCUUUUACGGUGCAGGAUACUUCCAAUGACCAAUGUGAAAUAAUUUUCAUAUCUACCGGUAAAUCAUACAUAUUUCAAUUGCUACAUUGUUGUUGUUGUUGUUACUACUUACCGUACUUUUCCGUGUAUAAGACUAGGUUUUUUUCUUGAAAAAGAAUGCUUAAAAAUGGGGGUCGUCUUAUACAUGGGUAGUGAAUUGGGCUGACGUUUGAUUGGUUGCUGCUGCGGCUGCUAGUGGUUGCUGCGUCAAUGAGUGGUGGUGAUUGGCUGACACUGUGGCAAUAGGGCAGACAAUUGGCAGCUUCUGCCGGCGAGGGGACAGACGGGAGGUGGUUUUAGCGACAUGUGUGGGUGUGUGAUUUUUGGCACACCCCCCCCCCCAAAGUAGCUCUACAAUUCUGGGCAAUCCUCCACAAAUAAAGCUCAACAACUCUGUGCCAUCUCUCCCCAUUUUCUGAAAUUUGAGUCCCCCAAAAUAGGGCAUCUUAUACAUGGGGGCAUCUUAUAGAUGGAAAAGUAUGGUAAUUACAAUUCUAUAUUGUUAUUCUGUUCUGUUUUACUACAUUACAUUCCUUUCCUGUUACCUUCCUUAAUAGGAUAGUCCAUGGCUUUUGGAAAAGAGUCUGAUAAAAAUGAUGACAAUAAAUUAAUAAAACCAUACAAUAUGAUCAAUUUAAUAGAUGAAGACAUGGAAUAGCUUGCACACAGAGGGCUGGGUUUCCUCUAACAAAGUCAGAUUCAAAGUAAACCCAAAAUUAAUGGACCUAAGCUAGUCAUGUUAAUUCAAUUCAAUGGGUCAACUCUGAGCAGGACUAGCAUUAGUUACAAUUCAGAUUCUGUGAGUUUAGUGCUACAUGUUGCUGCUGUUAAAAGUGUCAGUUUUCCUUGCCAAGUGAUGCACUGACAUGAUCUAAUAAACAUCUUUGGCAUACAAGGAUCACGAGAAGCAGACCACUGGUGGUUUGUCCUAGACUGGAGCAUCUAAUACUCAGCAUUUGCAUAAUAUUAUUUGAGUGCUUAACAGUGUUCCACAAAACCUCUCAGUAAUUCUUACUGAAAAACCUGUAAGGUAGAUCAGUAUUAUCUCAGUACUGCCAGUAUGGUGGGGAAAAGUCUAAGAGAGUCACCGUCUUGAGUUCAUAGUAGGGGUAAGAACUGAACCAGAGCCAUCCAGAGGCUCAGUCCCUCAGCCACAAGAACUGCCUUCAAAGAGGCAGAGGACAAUUUUAGCAGGUGUCCCUGGAAUAGUUUUUAUUAUUAUUACUCCACUGGCGUAUGAGUGAGUUGGAGAAAGGUAAUCUAAAAUGUAAUCUAAGGCUACCGAAUCGAAAGAUAGCAUUUCUAUUUCCUUUAAUACCUAUUUUCUUUUCAGGUAGAAUCCUUAAGAAAUCUGACAUUUCUCUCACAUCUCCAACAGGUUUCUCUCACCAUAUCUAUUACACUGGAAUGCUCCGCUAUGUUUUGAGUUUGGGGAGCAUGUGCUUAUGAUAAAAAGAAGACAGCCCCAACCCCUCUCAUUCAUGUCGAUACAGUGAUACCUUGGUUUACAACCAUAAUCUGUUCCAGAGGUCUGGUUGAAACCAAAACAGGUUGUAACCCAAGGUGCGCUUUCGCCAAUGGGGCCUCCCCCCCAAAAAAAAAUUGGUUGUAAUUCUAAAAAGGGGGGUUGUAAUCCCAAAAAAGAGACAUGGGUGGUGCUGUGGGUUAAACCACAGAGCCUAGGACUUGCCAAUCUGAAGGUUGGCGGUUCAAAUCCCUGUGAUGGGGUGAGCUCCCGUUGCUCGGUCCCUGCUCCUGCCAACCUAGCAGUUCAAAAGCACGUCAAAGUGCAAGUAGAUAAAUAGGUACCGCUCCGACGGGAAGGUAAACGGUGUUUCCGUGCACUGCUCUGGUUCGCCAGAAGCAGCUUAGUCAUGCUGGCCACAUGACCCGGAAGCUGUACACCGGCUCCCUCGGCCAGUAAAGCGAGAUGAGCGCCGCAACCCCAGAGUCGGCCACGACUGGACCUAACGGUCAGGGGUCCCUUUACCUUUCUCACUUCCAUACAUCACUACUGGGAAAACCAUACCUUUUACUAUAUGGACCUUUGUUGGCAAGGUGAUGUCUCUACUUUUUAAGAUGCUGUCUAGGUUGAGACUCCUUAGGGUAGUGAUAAAGUGGGAUAUCAAAUCCAAACUCUUCUUCUUCUUCUUCCCUAACAUGGUGACCUCCAGAUGUUGUUAGACACCAGCUUCCUACAGUCCCACCUGGCAGGGCCAAUGGUCAGGAAUUUUUGGAGUUGCAGUCCAGAACAUGUGGAAGGCAUCAGGCUGAGGAAGAUUGACACAGGACAUCUUUCCUCCUUUGGCUCUAUUUAGGUAUGCAAGUACACACAGGCAUCCCACUUCAGUACAUCAAGCAUCCCACUCCAAAGUUAUUUAUGGUUAUCUCUUUGUUUUGCCGGGGAUGUGCAAUUAAGCAAUCUUGCUCUAUUCUUGC